rnacentral:rRNA from 1 species
AUUGAACGCUGGCGGCAGGCCUAACACAUGCAAGUCGAACGAGUGGCGGACGGGUGAGUAAUUUCUGGGCAACUGCCUGAUGGAGGGGGAUAACUACUGGAAACGGUAGCUACUACCGCAUACCAUCGGAUGUGCCCAGCUGGGAUUAGCUAGUCGGUGGGGUAACGGCUCACCUAGGCGCCGAUCCCUAGCUGGUCUGAGAGGCUGACCAGCCACACUCGAACGGAGACACUGUCCAGACUCCAACGGGAAGCAGCAGUUGGGAAUAUUGCGCAAUGGGCGCAAGCCUGAUGCAGCCAUGCCGCGUGUAUGAAGAAAGCCAUCGGGUUUUAAAGUACUUUCAGCGGGUAGGCGUUACCCGCAGAAGAAGCACCUGCUAACUCCGUGCCAGCAGCCGCGGUAAUUC